rnacentral:rRNA from 1 species
AUGCUGGCAGUUGGGCGGGUGGAAGCGGUGAGCGCGCAUGCAGUUGAUGUCGUUGUACUCGAGCGUGUCGUGGGAGGCGCAGUCGUCGCAGGUGGACCAGACGAUGGGGCCGGAGAGGUCGAGGACCAGCGGGCGGCCGGAAUUGACGGGGAUGCUGUAGAGGGAGGUGGCCGCGUCCCUUCUGACGGCCGUCACCAGCGGCCUGCCGCCGCCGUCGCCCGCCACCGUGCACGCCAGGAUACACAGCGAGACGACGAUGAGGAGGAGGUCUUUUGGUUGCCACAUUUUGAAAUUUGGACAGGCCAAUGCUGUGGUCGAUCGAGAUGCCAUUGCUAG